CCUACGGGAGGCAGCAGUGGGGAAUAUUGCGCAAUGGGCGAAAGCCUGACGCAGCGACGCCGCGUGAGGGAUGAAGGUCUUCGGAUCGUAAACCUCUGUCAGCAGGGAAGAACGGUCACUGUGCUAAUCAGCAGUGAAUUGACGGUACCUGCAAAGGAAGCACCGGCUAACUCCGUGCCAGCAGCCGCGGUAAUACGGAGGGUGCGAGCGUUAGUCGGAAUUACUGGGCGUAAAGCGCUCGUAGGCGGUAUGUCAAGUCAAGGGUGAAAUCCCCGCGCUCAACGUGGGAACUGCCUUUGAACAUGGCAAACGGGAGUGUGUGAGAGGAUAGUGGAAUGCCGUGUGUAGCUGUGAAAUGCGUAGAUAUACGGGGGAACACCAGUGGCGAAGGCGGCCUGCUGGACAUUAACUGACGCUGAGGCGCGAAAGCGUGGGGAGCAAACAGGAUUAGAUACCCGAGUAGUC
rnacentral:rRNA from 1 species